rnacentral:rRNA from 1 species
CAGUCGCCGCGGGAAUACGUAGGGUGCAAGCGUUAAUCGGAAUUACUGGGCGUAAAGCGUGCGCAGGCGGUUUGUUAAGACAGAUGUGAAAUCCCCGGGCUUAACCUGGGAACUGCAUUUGUGACUGGCAAGCUAGAGUAUGGCAGAGGGGGGUGGAAUUCCGCGUGUAGCAGUGAAAUGCGUAGAUAUGCGGAGGAACACCGAUGGCGAAGGCAGCCCCCUGGGCCAAUACUGACGCUCAUGCACGAAAGCGUGGGGAGCAAACAGGAUUAGAUACCCCUGUAGUCCCUGUCUCUUAUAC